GUCCACCUCCUUCAUGAAAACUGGCUUCAGUUGCUCAGCUUCUGCUAUUAGCUGCAUCUUCCUUGUUAUCACAUGGUCCACAUCAACACGGCCAUUGCUGGAGUUCUGAAAGGAUCUGUCGCCAUCGGGUCUCCUCUGCAUCUCUUCAUUCUCGGGGCUCUUGUAGGUUGUGGUGGAGCCAGACGGGCGUUUUCUUACACAGUCUUCACCUGCCAUUGCUGCCUAGCUCGGAGCGCCCGCGCCGCUCUUCCCGCCUCCCCCGCUCGCCGCGCGCCCGCGCACGUCACCGCGCAGAGGGAGGGGGGAGCGGCGACGCCGCCCAUUGGCCGCGGGCCGCGCCGCGGGGGGGGCACGUGAGGCGCACGUGGGGGGAGCGCGCCCCGCUCGGCUCCGCGCCUCCCGUCCGUCCGCCCGCGCGUCGGGGUCCCGCGGG
rnacentral:lncRNA from 1 species